rnacentral:rRNA from 1 species
CAGUCGCCGCGGGAAUACGAAGGGUGCAAGCGUUACUCGGAAUUACUGGGCGUAAAGCGUGCGUAGGUGGUUGUUUAAGUCUGUUGUGAAAGCCCUGGGCUCAACCUGGGAAUUGCAGUGGAUACUGGGCAACUAGAGUGUGGUAGAGGGUAGUGGAAUUCCCGGUGUAGCAGUGAAAUGCGUAGAGAUCGGGAGGAACAUCCAUGGCGAAGGCAGCUACCUGGACCAACACUGACACUGAGGCACGAAAGCGUGGGGAGCAAACAGGAUUAGAUACCCCCGUAGUCCCUGUCUCUUAUAC